rnacentral:rRNA from 1 species
UACAGAGGUGGCAAGCGUUGUUCGGAAUUACUGGGCGUAAAGGGCGCGUAGGCGGUUCGUUAAGUCCUGUGUGAAAUCCCCCGGCUCAACUGGGGAACUGCACAGGAAACUAGCGGGCUUGAGUUCGGGAGAGGGAAGCGGAAUUCCGGGUGUAGCGGUGAAAUGCGUAGAUAUCAAGCGGAACACCGGUGGCGAAGGCGGCCUUCUGGACAGUAACUGACGCUGAGACGCGAAAGCGUGGGGAGCAAACAGG